UAGAAAAACCUGUCCUAUCUACCAGCUACAUAGUGAAUAGGUAGGGAGAAAGAGAGAGAGGUUUCCAUCUUCUUGCUAGGAAGGAAGGAAGAGGACUGACUCACUACAGGAAGUACCUGAGGAGUCAAGGCACGGGUCCUAGAGCAGUGGCAAGCAGGGACAGUUAAAGGUUUCAGGUGCUAUUACACUCCUGUGCUUUUGGAACAAGUUUCUGAAAAUGACUUCUAUGACAAAACCCUGCUGCCAUCUAAGAGCGAAAAAGAUUUUUUCCCACCCCCUUGAGAGAAUCACUGCCUGAUUGUGCCCUGUGCCAGCAGCGUCCUGAGUGAGUGAGGAGGCA